AUCAUACAUUCUUUCUUAUGCUGAAAAGCUGGUGUUUGAUCUUAUGAAAAUGUGGAGGUAAAUAUCUUCUUCAUAAACGUGGUGCAGCUUUUGUAUAGUUGCACAUAAAUAGUCACUCUGUGUUUUGUUACUUGUCUUUGAGAUUUUGCUAAGAAAUCUGUGAACCUAUUUCUUUCCUUCAACGCCCAACCGCGGACUUCUUUGAGGAAUUGUGUCCAGAAUUCAGCAUAUGGUAAAGCAAAGACGGUGCCUCUACAUACCAAAAGCUGGUGUUUGAUCUUAUGAAAAUGUGGAGGUAAAUAUCUUCUUCAUAAACGUGGUGCAGCUUUUGUAUAGUUGCACAUAAAUAGUCACUCUGUGUUUUGUUACUUGUCUUUGAGAUUUUGCUAAGAAAUCUGUGAACCUAUUUCUUUCCUUCAACGCCCAACCGCGGACUUCUUUGAGGAAUUGUGUCCAGAAUUCAGCAUAUGGUAAAGCAAAGACGGUGCCUCUACAUACCAAAAGCUGGUGUUUGAUCUUAUGAAAAUGUGGAGGUAAAUAUCUUCUUCAUAAACGUGGUGCAGCUUUUGUAUAGUUGCACAUAAAUAGUCACUCUGUGUUUUGUUACUUGUCUUUGAGAUUUUGCUAAGAAAUCUGUGAACCUAUUUCUUUCCUUCAACGCCCAACCGCGGACUUCUUUGAGGAAUUGUGUCCAGAAUUCAGCAUAUGGUAAAGCAAAGACGGUGCCUCUACAUACCAAAAGCUGGUGUUUGAUCUUAUGAAAAUGUGGAGGUAAAUAUCUUCUUCAUAAACGUGGUGCAGCUUUUGUAUAGUUGCACAUAAAUAGUCACUCUGUGUUUUGUUACUUGUCUUUGAGAUUUUGCUAAGAAAUCUGUGAACCUAUUUCUUUCCUUCAACGCCCAACCGCGGACUUCUUUGAGGAAUUGUGUCCAGAAUUCAGCAUAUGGUAAAGCAAAGACGGUGCCUCUACAUACCAAAAGGUAAUGUUUGAUUUGAGAGAACCUUUGAUCUGUCUGUUUUAGAAAAAAAAAAAUUGAAAUGUACUGAUCUGCGGGUCCCUUUUGCCUCCACCCUCUGUGCUCUCCACCUAGGGCCCCCGCCAUCGGCCCUCCUAUACUCAGACCCCUGCCAUCAGCCUUCCCCACUUCU